UUCAUUUCAAAUCAUACAGUGUAGAUACCUGACUUCGAAGUGGUAUCGCUAAGCUCUUUUGUUUUUUGUUUUUUUUUUUCUAAUUUUUUCAAUGGCAAAUGUCAGACGGGUAUUAAUAAACGACACAUCCCCUUUGAAAACUGAAGCAUACAGGGUCUGCCUAAACGAAAAGGUCAGCCUAACAUUUGAUCAGAUUAUUUUCUUUGCCUCUUAAGAAAGACGGUAUUAAGGGCUUCUCACUUAAACUCGCACGCGUUCACGACCAAGUUAAUGGGGACGAACACAAAGGAUGGUUAUAAAUUAAGCGAUCGUUCAACCGCCUCCUUUCAGUCGUCCUAAUGGUCCGUUCCCUUAGAGUCGCAGUCAGGGUGUCCAGCAGUUUCCAUCUCACCUCUCCCAGCUUUCAUGCAGGUCAAACUGGAAGGGUGGAUCAGUGGACUCCAGUCAGUCGAACGAGGAUUAUGUGCAUUCGUGUGUGUAUAAGUGCACACGGACGUUCCAGUAAUGCAUGGCUUGACAUUACAUAGAACAUUUAUUUAUGUUUUUGGUGCUUUAUAGCAGAAAACAAUUUUAUGAAAGAUCAAUAGUAAGGGAAGGUAAUUCUCCUGCAAAGCUGAUGUGUCCUACACAAGACAGAAACCUUAAAAAUGCUUUGAAUAGCCUACCAAACAGAGCUCCUUUGGAAAUGAAAAAGCAUCCUGUGCUACAUGAAGAACACUAAAUGCUAUACUAUGUUGGUUUGAGCAGGAUUUCCAUGGCCCUCAAGUGCAAAAGGAGACGUUUUUAACGACAUGCUGGGUUUCGUAUAUUUCAUAUCUCAUUGUAUCGCUAUUAACACGCCAACGACAUUUUCAUAGUAAGCUUUGAAGUUAGCGUAGACAACUAACAGAUUAUGAC